CCAUAGAGCUCGUGUAAGGAAAAGAAAGGAAAGAAAGGAGAAGGAGAAGAAGAAAAGGAAGAAAAAGAGGGUUUUGAGCAUUUUUGCCAUGGGAGCCUUGCCAAGCCACCUCAACUAUGUAAUAUAACGCCUAGAAUACGCAUGCGUUGGCUCGAGUAAUUACAUAGGUUGAUUUUCGGCUUUCCCAGGUUCUCUUCUUCCUCUCCCGCUGCUCAAGUAAAUUGUUCUUGCCCGCUCUUCGCCCGAUCCUCAGCUGCUCCACGCUCGACGCCUGGUCCUCAUCGCUCCUCGCUCACUCUCGAGCUUCAAUUCGCCAUCAUCUAUUCUUGUAGGGAUCAUGCUUUCAUUUCCAAAGUCACCGAAUUUUUAAGAAUCGGCGAUUGCACUGCUAUUAAAUAUUGGUUCAAUCUCCUUUCCAAUGUAAAAGAAAGUUGUUACCGAACUCGGAAAAAUAGUUUGUUUUUACUGAACUCUCAUCUCUCUUCUGAACCAUUCGAUAGUUUUCAUGCUUUUGUAGGGACUGGGAAAGAGGUGUUAUCUAGGCAUAUGCAGUCUGGUCUACAAUUGAUUGUCGCUUGAAUACGAGAUUCAUGAAGAAUUAAUGCUUUCCAGUUUUUUGUAACUUAGCUAUUUAGGUUUCUGUUUGUCAUCCUCGUUAGUUUUCAUUUUUUACCAAUAUGGCACAAGAGUGUAAUGCAUAUUGGAUCCUGUCCAUCAUGGCAUUUGGAUAAGGUCCCUCACUAUUACGUCAAGUAUUACUGCAUU